AGCGAACGCUGGCGGCAGGCCUAAUACAUGCAAGUCGAGCGGGUCCUUCGGGAUUAGCGGCGGACGGGUGAGUAACGCGUGGGAACGUGCCCUUUGGUACGGAACAACUGAGGGAAACUUCAGCUAAUACCGUAUGUGCCCUUCGGGGAAAGAUUAUCGCCAUUGGAGCGGCCCGCGUUGGAUUAGGUAGUUGGUGAGGUAAAGGCUCACCAAGCCUACGAUCCAUAGCUGGUCUGAGAGGAUGACCCAGCCACACUGGGACUGAGACACGGCCCAGACUCCUACGGGAGGCAGCAGUAGGGAAUCUUGCGCAAUGGGCGAAAGCCUGACGCAGCCAUGCCGCGUGAAAUGAUGAAAGGUCUUAGGAUUGUAAAAUUACUUUCACCGGGGACGAUAAUGACGGUACCCGGAGAAGAAGCCCCGGCUAACUUCGUGCCAGCAGCCGCGGUAAU
rnacentral:rRNA from 1 species